rfam:Clostridium sp. CAG:264 genomic scaffold, scf96
GUACCUCUCGAUGAACUGCCGAAGACAGUAGGUGCCGGAUGGCAUAAGUUGAAAAACGCCUACCGAGGAAUAUAUCGUUAAUAUUAUUUUAACUAUAUGCUCUCUGUCUUAUCGACAGAGAGCUUUUCUUAUUUUAGC